rnacentral:rRNA from 1 species
UACGGAGGGGGCUAGCGUUGUUCGGAAUUACUGGGCGUAAAGCGCACGUAGGCGGAUUUGUAAGUCAGUGGUGAAAUCCCGGGGCUCAACCUCGGAACUGCCUUUGAUACUGCAAAUCUCGAGUCCGGAAGAGGUGAGUGGAAUUCCUAGUGUAGAGGUGAAAUUCGUAGAUAUUAGGAAGAACACCAGUGGCGAAGGCGGCUCACUGGUCCGGUACUGACGCUGAGGUGCGAAAGCGUGGGGAGCAAACAGG